rnacentral:rRNA from 1 species
UGAGCAAUCUGCCCUUCUCAUCGGAAUAAGCGUUGGAAACGACGUCUAAUGCCGAAUACGACCUCCUUUCGCAUGAUCGGAGGUGGAAAGCUCCGGCGGAGAAGGAUGAGCUCGCGGCCUAUCAGCUAGUUGGUGUGGGUAAUGGCCCACCAAGGCGACGGACGGGUAGCCGGCCUGAGAGGGUGACCGGCCACACUGGGACUGAGACACGGCCCAGACUCCGUACGGGGAGCCAG